UUUCCGUAGGUGAACCUGCGGAAGGAUCAUUAACGUACAAAAUGUGAGGGGCAUGCGAGGGCGGUCGCUCACGCAAAAGUCUUGCACGCCCGUGUGUGUCCUCUUGCCUAAUAAUCCAUCUCACCCUUUGCGCAUGCCCCCGUGGGCACCCUUCGGGUUAGUCUCGGAGGGGGGCUCGUGUUUUCACACAAACCCCCCUUUUAAAAGUUUAGAAUUACCACAUGUAUGCAAUCAAUACAACUUUCAACAACGGAUCUCUUGGCUCUG
rnacentral:misc_RNA from 1 species